UACGUAGGGUGCAAGCGUUGUCCGGAUUUAUUGGGCGUAAAGAGCUCGUAGGCGGUUUGUCGCGUCGGCUGUGAAAAUCCGGGGCUCAACCCCGGACCUGCAGUCGAUACGGGCAAACUAGAGUUCGGCAGGGGAGACUGGAAUUCCUGGUGUAGCGGUGAAAUGCGCAGAUAUCAGGAGGAACACCGGUGGCGAAGGCGGGUCUCUGGGCCGAAACUGACGCUGAGGAGCGAAAGCGUGGGGAGCAAACAGG
rnacentral:rRNA from 1 species